rnacentral:rRNA from 4 species
GGGUUGUGAGGUUAAGCGACUAAGCGUACACGGUGGAUGCCCUGGCAGUCAGAGGCGAUGAAGGGCGUGCUAAUCUGCGAUAAGCGCCGGUAAGGUGAUAUGAACCGUUAUAACCGGCGAUACCCGAAUGGGGAAACCCAGUGUGAUUCGUCACACUAUCAUUAACUGAAUCCAUAGGUUAAUGAGGCGAACCGGGGGAACUGAAACAUCUAAGUACCCCGAGGAAAAGAAAUCAACCGAGAUUCCCCCAGUAGCGGCGAGCGAACGGGGAGGAGCCCAGAGCCUGAAUCAGCAUGUGUGUUAGUGGAAGCGUCUGGAAAGGCGCGCGAUACAGGGUGACAGCCCCGUACACAAAAGCGCAUGUGCUGUGAGCUCGAUGAGUAGGGCGGGACACGUGGUAUCCUGUCUGAAUAUGGGGGGACCAUCCUCCAAGGCUAAAUACUCCUGACUGACCGAUAGUGAACCAGUACCGUGAGGGAAAGGCGAAAAGAACCCCGGCGAGGGGAGUGAAAAAGAACCUGAAACCGUGUACGUACAAGCAGUGGGAGCACCCUUUGGGUGUGACUGCGUACCUUUUGUAUAAUGGGUCAGCGACUUAUAUUCUGUAGCAAGGUUAACCGAAUAGGGGAGCCGGAGGGAAACCGAGUCUUAACCGGGCGUUAAGUUGCAGGGUAUAGACCCGAAACCCGGUGAUCUAGCCAUGGGCAGGUUGAAGGUUGGGUAACACUAACUGGAGGACCGAACCGACUAAUGUUGAAAAAUUAGCGGAUGACCUGUGGCUGGGGGUGAAAGGCCAAUCAAACCGGGAGAUAGCUGGUUCUCCCCGAAAGCUAUUUAGGUAGCGCCUCGUGAAUUCAUCUCCGGGGGUAGAGCACUGUUUCGGCUAGGGGGCCAUCCCGGCUUACCAACCCGAUGCAAACUGCGAAUACCGGAGAAUGUUAUCACGGGAGACACACGGCGGGUGCUAACGUCCGUCGUGAAGAGGGAAACAACCCAGACCGCCAGCUAAGGUCCCAAAGUCAUGGUUAAGUGGGAAACGAUGUGGGAAGGCCCAGACAGCCAGGAUGUUGGCUUAGAAGCAGCCAUCAUUUAAAGAAAGCGUAAUAGCUCACUGGUCGAGUCGGCCUGCGCGGAAGAUGUAACGGGGCUAAACCAUGCACCGAAGCUGCGGCAGCGACACUGUGUGUUGUUGGGUAGGGGAGCGUUCUGUAAGCCUGCGAAGGUGGCCUGUGAGGGUUGCUGGAGGUAUCAGAAGUGCGAAUGCUGACAUAAGUAACGAUAAAGCGGGUGAAAAGCCCGCUCGCCGGAAGACCAAGGGUUCCUGUCCAACGUUAAUCGGGGCAGGGUGAGUCGACCCCUAAGGCGAGGCCGAAAGGCGUAGUCGAUGGGAAACGGGUUAAUAUUCCCGUACUUGGUGUUACUGCGAAGGGGGGACGGAGAAGGCUAUGUUGGCCGGGCGACGGUUGUCCCGGUUUAAGCGUGUAGGUGUGUGUUCCAGGUAAAUCCGGUUCACUUUAACACUGAGGCGUGACGACGAGGCACUACGGUGCUGAAGCAACAAAUGCCCUGCUUCCAGGAAAAGCCUCUAAGCAUCAGGUAACAUCAAAUCGUACCCCAAACCGACACAGGUGGUCAGGUAGAGAAUACCAAGGCGCUUGAGAGAACUCGGGUGAAGGAACUAGGCAAAAUGGUGCCGUAACUUCGGGAGAAGGCACGCUGACACGUAGGUGAAGUGAUUUACUCAUGGAGCUGAAGUCAGUCGAAGAUACCAGCUGGCUGCAACUGUUUAUUAAAAACACAGCACUGUGCAAACACGAAAGUGGACGUAUACGGUGUGACGCCUGCCCGGUGCCGGAAGGUUAAUUGAUGGGGUCAGCGCAAGCGAAGCUCCUGAUCGAAGCCCCGGUAAACGGCGGCCGUAACUAUAACGGUCCUAAGGUAGCGAAAUUCCUUGUCGGGUAAGUUCCGACCUGCACGAAUGGCGUAAUGAUGGCCAGGCUGUCUCCACCCGAGACUCAGUGAAAUUGAACUCGCUGUGAAGAUGCAGUGUACCCGCGGCAAGACGGAAAGACCCCGUGAACCUUUACUAUAGCUUGACACUGAACAUUGAGCCUUGAUGUGUAGGAUAGGUGGGAGGCUUUGAAGUGUGGACGCCAGUCUGCAUGGAGCCGACCUUGAAAUACCACCCUUUAAUGUUUGAUGUUCUAACGUGGACCCGUUACCCGGGUUGCGGACAGUGUCUGGUGGGUAGUUUGACUGGGGCGGUCUCCUCCUAAAGAGUAACGGAGGAGCACGAAGGUUGGCUAAUCCUGGUCGGACAUCAGGAGGUUAGUGCAAUGGCAUAAGCCAGCUUGACUGCGAGCGUGACGGCGCGAGCAGGUGCGAAAGCAGGUCAUAGUGAUCCGGUGGUUCUGAAUGGAAGGGCCAUCGCUCAACGGAUAAAAGGUACUCCGGGGAUAACAGGCUGAUACCGCCCAAGAGUUCAUAUCGACGGCGGUGUUUGGCACCUCGAUGUCGGCUCAUCACAUCCUGGGGCUGAAGUAGGUCCCAAGGGUAUGGCUGUUCGCCAUUUAAAGUGGUACGCGAGCUGGGUUUAGAACGUCGUGAGACAGUUCGGUCCCUAUCUGCCGUGGGCGCUGGAGAACUGAGGGGGGCUGCUCCUAGUACGAGAGGACCGGAGUGGACGCAUCACUGGUGUUCGGGUUGUCAUGCCAAUGGCACUGCCCGGUAGCUAAAUGCGGAAGAGAUAAGUGCUGAAAGCAUCUAAGCACGAAACUUGCCCCGAGAUGAGUUCUCCCUGAGACUUAGAGUCUCCUGAAGGAACGUUGAAGACGACGACGUUGAUAGGCCGGGUGUGUAAGCGCAGCGAUGCGUUGAGCUAACCGGUACUAAUGAACCGUGAGGCUUAACCUUACAACGCCGAAG